UAGACGAUGGCAAAUUGGUUAAUAUUCCAAUACCAACAUUAGUGUGCGAUGGAAGGACGCUUAGGGCUAAGGGGGCUAGCGGAUGGAAGUGCUAGUCUAAGGUCGUAGGAGGUUAUACAGGCAAAUCCGUAUAACAAUACUCCGAGAACUGAAAGGCUUUUUGAAGUCUUCGGAUGGAUAGAAGAACCCCUGAUGCCGUCGAGCCAAGAAAAGUUUCUAAGUUUAGCUAAUGUUGCCCGUACCGUAAACCGACACAGGUGGGUGGGAUGAGUAUUCUAAGGCGCGUGGAAGAACUCUCUUUAAGGAACUCUGCAAAAUAGCACCGUAUCUUCGGUAUAAGGUGUGGUUAGCUUCGUACUAGGAUUUACUCCGAAAGCGAAGAAACUUACAACAAAGAGUCCCUCCCGACUGUUUACCAAAAACACAGCACUCUGCUAACUCGUAAGAGGAUGUAUAGGGUGUGACGCCUGCCCGGUGCUCGAAGGUUAAUUGAUGGGGUUAGCAUUAGCGAAGCUCUUGAUCGAAGCCCGAGUAAACGGCGGCCGUAACUAUAACGGUCCUAAGGUAGCGAAAUUCCUUGUCGGUUAAAUACCGACCUGCAUGAAUGGCGUAACGAGAUGGGAGCUGUCUCAAAGAGGGAUCCAGUGAAAUUGUAGUGGAGGUGAAAAUUCCUCCUACCCGCGGCAAGACGGAAAGACCCCGUGGACCUUUACUACAGCUUGACACUGCUAUUUGGAUAAGAAUGUGCAGGAUAGGUGGGAGGCUUUGAGUAUAUGACGCCAGUUGUAUAGGAGCCAUUGUUGAGAUACCACUCUUUCUUAUUUGGGUAGCUAACCAGCUUGAGUUAUCCUCAAGUGGGACAAUGUCUGGUGGGUAGUUUGACUGGGGCGGUCGCCUCCCAAAUAAUAACGGAGGCUUACAAAGGUUGGCUCAGAACGGUUGGAAAUCGUUCAUAGAGUAUAAAGGUAUAAGCCAGCUUAACUGCAAGACAUACAAGUCAAGCAGAGACGAAAGUCGGUCUUAGUGAUCCGGUGGUUCUGUGUGGAAGGGCCAUCGCUCAAAGGAUAAAAGGUACCCCGGGGAUAACAGGCUGAUCUCCCCCAAGAGCUCACAUCGACGGGGAGGUUUGGCACCUCGAUGUCGGCUCAUCGCAUCCUGGGGCUGGAGCAGGUCCCAAGGGUAUGGCUGUUCGCCAUUUAAAGCGGUACG
rnacentral:rRNA from 1 species